rnacentral:lncRNA from 1 species
CAGGGAUUGAUGAUAGGGUUAAGUUCCCGACUGACGGCAUUGAUUAAAAGAGAGAGAAUAAAGUCUGUCCAAAGCAAGACUUGAUUGUGCCAUUUUAUCCCAAAAGGAACCCUAAGCCCCCAAAUCAAAUCUCCCAAGUUGGAACCCGAAUUUCACCAUCUCCGGCCACACUUCAGACGACGUCACCAUUGGCGCUCUGACUGCAUUUCGAUCGGGGGGUUUGGCCAUCGCCUCACCAUUUUCGGCCACGGGUUUGUUGUCGUUUCCAUCCAUUUCCACCAGCUCUCGAUUCACCAUUGUCAACCGACAAAGCUUUGUUUGUGAUAUGGCAUCACGUAGCUGAACUUCGGGAUAUUGCAAUCUUCAUCUCGUGGUUUUGCACAUUUUUUAUUAAAUUCGUAUAACAAAUUUGUGAAUUGUUGGUGAACUAUUGGUGUGUUUGUAUGAAAUUUUUAUUCUUUUUAAUUUCAUUGUGCAAUGUCAUUAUGCAUCGUUAUCACUAUUUCCUGUGUCACUAUAAAGCUGUUGUUUGUGUUUUUGUUAUUUUCUAGUGUUCACCUCCAUGGUUGUUCAUAGUUUACUGCUGCUAAAUUGAAGGGGUCUAACAUGGUACAUUACUGAUGAAGAAAACUCUGUAUGUUGCAUUCCAACAUGUCAGUAAUUAUCAACAAUCACAGCCUAUUAUUGCACAAUCACUAUGAAAUUUGAGAUGAAAUUAUCAAUGUUCUCCAACAUUGAAGUCGUUUCUUUAAUUGUUAUAGUGACCGUGAAUUUAUUUCUGUUAAUCGUAGUUUAUUCGUAAGGCAGAAUAGACGGAAAGAAUAGAGGAAUGUGUCAUAGUUGUAGAGCUAGGGGCCAUUUCUUUGAUGAAUGCCCAAGGAAGCGCAGAUGCCGGGCAUGCAAGAAUGGAUUUGAAAAGUGUUUCAUGGUAGAGAAGCAGACAGUAAAUAAAGGGAGAUUAUUUCUCUGUUGUAGUGAGAAAUGCGGAUUUUGGGAUUGGGUUGUCAAAGAAAAAUCACCCGGUGAAUCGUCUAGUGACAAUUCUUCAUUAGUAAACCUUGCAAUGAAUGAAAAUGGUGAAGAAAUGUCCAAAACGUUUGAAUCUCGAGUUCACCUAAAAGAUGAUGAAGACCUACAUAUUUCGGUGAACGUAAAAAUAUGCAAGGCGAAUUCUAGUACGGAAGCGAAUGCAAAAGGGAAGCGAUCGACUUGAUUAUUAGAUAAAAAUUUGCUCUCGACUUUUGACUUAACUUUUGUAAGUGUAGC